GAUGAACGCUAGCUACAGGCUUAACACAUGCAAGUCGAGGGGCAUCAGGAACAUAGCUUGCUAUGUUUGCUGGCGACCGGCGCACGGGUGCGUAACACGUAUCCAAUCUGCCCGUUACUCGGGGAUAGCCUUUCGAAAGAAAGAUUAAUACCCGAUAGUAUUAUUAAGAGGCAUCUUUUUUUAAUUAAAGAUUUAUCGGUAACGGAUGGGGAUGCGUAUGAUUAGUUAGUUGGCGGGGUAACGGCCCACCAAGACUACGAUCAUUAGGGGUUCUGAGAGGAAGGUCCCCCACACUGGAACUGAGACACGGUCCAGACUCCUACGGGAGGCAGCAGUGAGGAAUAUUGGUCAAUGGACGAGAGUCUGAACCAGCCAAGUAGCGUGAAGGAUGACUGCCCUAUGGGUUGUAAACUUCUUUUGUUUGGGAAUAAAGUUAGGUACGUGUACCUAUUUGUAUGUACCAUUCGGAUAAGCAUCGGCUAAUUCCGUGCCAGCCGCCGCGGUAAAAC
rnacentral:rRNA from 1 species